GGUCAAAGUUGAAAAAACGGCAAAUCCAUAAAGAAAAUACACUCUUAUGAAAAAUUCUUAUUGAAGUUUUGGCGAUAUGUAACCCCUAGAAUUAAAAAAUAAUAAUUUUCUGGGGAAUCCUCUCACUGUCGAAUGACGAGAUAAAAUGCAAAUUUCCCGCUUUGGGCGCAUGCGCAAGAAUCUAGGCAAGUAGAACGUAAACAUAAGCGGCAGAAACAUGGCUUCCGAAGCUAAGAGAUGUCGGCCUAGAAUUGUAACGAGUUCGGCAACAUAGCGACGUAAAUAGAAAUGGUCACAGGUCAACCCGAUUAUACGACUGGGGAAACAACACACUAGGUGGAAGACAUUCAAUGAAGAAAAUAGUUUCUCUACAAACGAGCAUGCAGCACGGAUUCUUCUGGAUAAGUGGCCGUGCACUUCAUUGACACAAGAAGUUCAUGCAGGUGAAGACAUCCCGACACCAGCUGAAACGUCUAUGGGACCGCCAUCACAUGUGUGCACCCCUACACCAGUAACAUCUACGCCUGCACAUGCCCAUAAAGAACCUAUAGCUAUAGAUAGACCUCCGAUGUCUCAGAUAUAGAAGCUCAGUCAUCACACUCGUCUGAUUUAUCUUGUGUGGAAGCAUUACAAUCAGACUCCCAGAGUAACAUUAAUGCCAGCUUGCUUUCCCAUUACCAACAGAAGGCUAAAGAGGAUGACACCUCAUUUAUUGAUAUACCUCAGACACAUCAACCUGAACACUUGCCAAUGGCUGAAGAUCCCAUAGAAAUGGAAGAGGUUGAUGUUGAUGAUGAGCUUGCAGAGGAUGAAGGACAAAGUGCCCUGUUGUAACUCACGUCAGUUCGAAUACCCACAACUUGUCAAAGAAAAGCAUGUGGUGCAAAUAUCAUUCUCCAAUGGAGAUAUGUUGGAUGUGCAGUACAGUUGAAAUGAAUUGGAGGAGCAGCAUUUGGUUCUAGUCCUGGAUCCUCUGGUUCACCUACAUUUUCGCAAAGGUCAAAAACUAGGCCUGGCUGACGAUACACUAGCUGAAGAACUAAAUUUAUCAGUGGCUUUGGGUCCAUCCUUCUGAUUAUAUCCUAAUACAUAAAACAAUUAUUAUAGAACAAAUCCAUGUGGGUGGGAGUACUGUAGCAUUCUAAUGUAUAAAAAUAACUGUUUUUCCUUAUUUUUGGUUUUUGAGUUGAUAAAUUUAAAUGCACUUAUAUAACUUAUCUAUUCUCCCUCAAAUUUCAUUCCAAAUUUUUCUACUAAGGUUUUAUUUAAGGUAUGUAUGCGUUUUUUGAUAAUUGUUUGUGGAAGUAAGUAUUGUGUAAAUGUGGUGUUCAAUUUCAGAACAUGUAGGAGGUAGGUGUUCACUUAAUGGUGUAUUGCAGGUGUUUACAUUUCAGUACUAGUGUGUGUUUGAGAGUGUUCACUUGACAGUAAAUGCAGGUGUUCUUUCAACAUUGUGUGUAGGAAGUGUUCAAUUAUCAGUUUGCAGGAAGUGUUCACUUAUCAGUGUGUGUAGGAAGUGUUCAAUUAUCAGUGUGUGUAGGAAUUAUUCACUAUCAGUUUGUAGGAAGUGUUCAAUUAUCAGUGUGUGUAGGAAGUGUUCACUAUCAGUUUGUAGGAAGUGUUCAAUUAUCAGUGUGUGUAGGAAGUGUUCACUAUCAGUUUGUAGGAAGUGUUCAAUUAUAUCAGUGUGUAUACGAAGUGUUCACUUGUGAGAAUGUGUUUGAGGUGCACGUGUGUACUAACAUUGUGUGUAGUUGUUAUUAACUUAUAAUAACAUUGUGUUCAUAGAUGGUUCAUUCUGAUAAAUGUGUUAAUCAAGUGUCUAGUUGCAUAUUUUUUCAAUAUUCUGUGAACUAAAAUGAAAUACCCCCAUGUGUAAUGUAAAUACCUACCUAGAGAAACAGGUCUUAUAACCAUACCAUUCACUUGGUUGGUUAAAAAUUAGGUGUUCAUACACAUAUGGGAAGUAUGUUUGAUGUGUGAGAGGGUCUGUGCAUUUUUGGUAAAAUUUAACACUUUCAGUGAGUAAUAGUAUAAAUUGUCUCCUGAAUGCUUUGGUAAAAUGUCUACUGUUCUUUUUGUCUGUGUACAUGCCAAAGAAAUAUCAAAAUAAAAAAGAUAUGAAAAGAAAUAA